rnacentral:lncRNA from 1 species
AAAAAACUAAAGAGUAAAUAAUAAAAAAACGGUUAAAAAAAAGAAAAGAAACAGGUUAUACAUUUGGUUCGAGAACUUGAAUGUGAGUUGGAGGUUGGAUGAAUCUUGUUUUUUAUUAUGCAUGAGAUGGGUUUAUUCGAAUGAGUUGUGACGGAGGUAAUAUGCAUCACAUUUUUUUCUCUUAUGUUCUAUUUUCAUCAAUGAGAGAGGGGAAAUAUUGUUGUGUGAUUGAGAUAUGUGACUUUCGAUGUCACCCAUGAAAAAUGAC